rnacentral:lncRNA from 1 species
CUUGCAAUAAUCUUUGGCCUUGCCUCUUCUUCCAUUUCCGACUCUUAUCUUCCUACAUCUCCUCCCCCCUUCUUCUUGUUAUGACUUCCGCUACAACAUUUCUGUCAUUCCAAUUGCUUAUACCUACAUACACUUCCAUUUCUACCCCAUUAGGGCCAAAUCCAUAUCCUAAACCCUUCAAAACCAUAAACGUCUCUCGAAUUUCAUCAUGGAUCUCUCACAAAACCACCAUUUCACCUUCCAAAUCACUCCAAUUCGUGACCAACACCUCAGAUUGGUCACAACAAUUGACACAAGAAACUGAACCA